UACGGAGGAUGCAAGCGUUAUCCGGAAUGAUUGGGCGUAAAGCGCCCGCAGGUGGCUAUGUAAGUCUGCUGUUAAAGAGUCUAGCUCAACUAGAUAAGAGCAGUGGAAACUACAAGGCUAGAGUACGUUCGGGGCAGAGGGAAUUCCUGGUGUAGCGGUGAAAUGCGUAGAGAUCAGGAAGAACACCAGUGGCGAAGGCGCUCUGCUAGGCCGUAACUGACACUGAGGGACGAAAGCUAGGGGAGCGAAUGGG
rnacentral:rRNA from 1 species